rnacentral:rRNA from 1 species
GACGAACGCUGGCGGCGUGCCUAAUACAUGCAAGUAGAACGCUGAAGAGAGGAGCUUGCUCUUCUUGGAUGAGUUGCGAACGGGUGAGUAACGCGUAGGUAACCUGCCUUGUAGCGGGGGAUAACUAUUGGAAACGAUAGCUAAUACCGCAUAACAAUGGAUGACACAUGUCAUUUAUUUGAAAGGGGCAAUUGCUCCACUACAAGAUGGACCUGCGUUGUAUUAGCUAGUAGGUGAGGUAAUGGCUCACCUAGGCGACGAUACAUAGCCGACCUGAGAGGGUGAUCGGCCACACUGGGACUGAGACACGGCCCAGACUCCUACGGGAGGCAGCAGUAGGGAAUCUUCGGCAAUGGGGGCAACCCUGACCGAGCAACGCCGCGUGAGUGAAGAAGGUUUUCGGAUCGUAAAGCUCUGUUGUAAGUCAAGAACGGGUGUGAGAGUGGAAAGUUCACACUGUGACGGUAGCUUACCAGAAAGGGACGGCUAACUACGUGCCAGCAGCCGCGGUAAUACGUAGGUCCCGAGCGUUGUCCGGAUUUAUUGGGCGUAAAGCGAGCGCAGGCGGUUUGAUAAGUCUGAAGUUAAAGGCUGUGGCUCAACCAUAGUUCGCUUUGGAAACUGUCAAACUUGAGUGCAGAAGGGGAGAGUGGAAUUCCAUGUGUAGCGGUGAAAUGCGUAGAUAUAUGGAGGAACACCGGUGGCGAAAGCGGCUCUCUGGUCUGUAACUGACGCUGAGGCUCGAAAGCGUGGGGAGCGAACAGGAUUAGAUACCCUGGUAGUCCACGCCGUAAACGAUGAGUGCUAGGUGUUGGAUCCUUUCCGGGAUUCAGUGCCGCAGCUAACGCAUUAAGCACUCCGCCUGGGGAGCACGACCGCAAGGUUGAAACUCAAAGGAAUUGACGGGGGCCCGCACAAGCGGUGGAGCAUGUGGUUUAAUUCGAAGCAACGCGAAGAACCUUACCAGGUCUUGACAUCCCGAUGCUAUUUCUAGAGAUAGAAAGUUACUUCGGUACAUCGGUGACAGGUGGUGCAUGGUUGUCGUCAGCUCGUGUCGUGAGAUGUUGGGUUAAGUCCCGCAACGAGCGCAACCCCUAUUGUUAGUUGCCAUCAUUCAGUUGGGCACUCUAGCGAGACUGCCGGUAAUAAACCGGAGGAAGGUGGGGAUGACGUCAAAUCAUCAUGCCCCUUAUGACCUGGGCUACACACGUGCUACAAUGGUUGGUACAACGAGUUGCGAGUCGGUGACGGCGAGCUAAUCUCUUAAAGCCAAUCUCAGUUCGGAUUGUAGGCUGCAACUCGCCUACAUGAAGUCGGAAUCGCUAGUAAUCGCGGAUCAGCACGCCGCGGUGAAUACGUUCCCGGGCCU